AACGCACAUUGCGCCCUCUGGCAUUCCGGAGGGCAUGCCUGUCCGAGCGUCAUUUCUGCCCUCCAGCGCGGCUGGGUCUUGGGCGCUGUCCCCCCGGGGACACGCCCCAAAGGCAGUGGCGACGCCGCGUCGAGUCCUCGAGCGUAUGGAGCUGGGUCACCUGCUCGGGAGGGAUUCGCCGGCCUCGGUCUUCCCCGAUGGGCCCCGAUACAGGGGCGCCUCCUUUCGGUUGACCUCGGAUCAGGUAGGGCUACCCGCUGAACUUAA
rnacentral:misc_RNA from 1 species